UACGAAGGGGGCUAGCGUUGCUCGGAAUCACUGGGCGUAAAGCGCACGUAGGCGGCUUAUUAAGUCAGGGGUGAAAUCCUGGAGCUCAACUCCAGAACUGCCUUUGAUACUGAUGAGCUUGAGUUCGGGAGAGGUGAGUGGAACUGCGAGUGUAGAGGUGAAAUUCGUAGAUAUUCGCAAGAACACCAGUGGCGAAGGCGGCUCACUGGCCCGAUACUGACGCUGAGGUGCCAAAGCGUGGGGAGCAAACAGG
rnacentral:rRNA from 1 species